rnacentral:rRNA from 1 species
UACGUAGGGUGCGAGCGUUAAUCGGAUUUACUGGGCGUAAAGCGUGCGCAGGCGGCCCGUUAAGACAGGUGUGAAAUCCCUGGGCUCAACCUAGGAAUUGCGCUUGUGACUGGCGGGCUCAAGUACGGUAGAGGGGGGUGGAAUUCCUGGUGUAGCAGUGAAAUGCGUAGAGAUCAGGAGGAACACCGAUGGCGAAGGCAGCCCCCUGGGCCUGUACUGACGCUCAUGCACGAAAGCGUGGGGAGCAAACAGG